ACAGGGGGAAACAAGGGUCAGAGCGAUUAGGGAUUAUGGGGAGGGGAUGAAAGGGCUAAGAGUCACGACGACUAAAGGGAACAGUCCUCAGAGGAGCAGGGGCUCGAGGAGGAGAUGCAAAAGCAGGAAAAUGAGCCUCAGCAGAGACGUGCAGGCCCAGAAAGUCUCUACUCAGACCAUCGGUCUACCAGGCUCAGGGGACCUACGCCCCACCCAGCCCAGCACAAUUCUCCUUUUCCCACCACCUCAGCCACUGAUAAUCCCAUUCUCCCUUACACAGCCCAACUCGAGCCUGGCUGAUCCUCUGGUCUCAGGCUCCUCCUCCACAAGAAAAGAGGUCUUAUUGCCACAUAUCCCCGCUAGAGGAUCCCUCCUGGACGCAGCUCUCUGCCUGCACAAACCUGAGAGGGCCCAGCUCACUCCUAGCAUUUAGCAAAGUUCCCAUGAUCCACUUCUGUAGGAGCACAGAUUGGGAAAAGUACUGAAAUUGAAGUUUUGAUAAACUAAGUCUGAUAUGCUUCAAUGAACAAAGCCUGGGAGAGAAGAACAUAUUGGUGAGGUUGGACAUCUGGAAUCUUGAAUUUAUGAACUACAAGGACAUUUUGCAGAAACCUGAAGAUAAAGAAGAGGCAAACUCCAUCUAUGUGUUAAAAGUUCCUACUUUCCAAAGAUACUAAAAAGACUAAAAAGAUGGACUAAUUAACAUAAGAAGUGAGAAAUCAGUAACUGGUAGAGGAUAGAAUACUAUUAAAUUAAAGAGAAUUAUAGGAGAA